UACGAAGGGGGCUAGCGUUGUUCGGAAUCACUGGGCGUAAAGGGCGCGUAGGCGGCCGUUCAAGUCGGGGGUGAAAGCCUGUGGCUCAACUCCAGAACUGCCUUCGAUACUGGAAGACUCGAGUCCGGGAGAGGUGAGUGGAACUGCGAGUGUAGAGGUGAAAUUCGUAGAUAUUCGCAAGAACACCAGUGGCGAAGGCGGCUCACUGGCCCGGUACUGACGCUGAGGUGCGAAAGCGUGGGGAGCAAACAGG
rnacentral:rRNA from 1 species